UACGAAGGAGGCUAGCGUUGUUCGGAAUUACUGGGCGUAAAGCGCACGUAGGCGGACAUUUAAGUCAGGGGUGAAAUCCCAGAGCUCAACUCUGGAACUGCCUUUGAUACUGGGUGUCUAGAGUAUGGAAGAGGUGAGUGGAAUUCCGAGUGUAGAGGUGAAAUUCGUAGAUAUUCGGAGGAACACCAGUGGCGAAGGCGGCUCACUGGUCCAUUACUGACGCUGAGGUGCGAAAGCGUGGGGAGCAAACAGG
rnacentral:rRNA from 1 species